rnacentral:rRNA from 1 species
GACGUAGGGCGCGAGCGUUGUCCGGAUUUAUUGGGCGUAAAGAGCUCGUAGGCGGCUUGUCGCGUCGAAUGUGAAAUCUCAGGGCUCAACUCUGACAUUGCAUUCGAUACGGGCAGGCUAGAGUUCGGUAGGGGAGACUGGAAUUCCUGGUGUAGCGGUGAAAUGCGCAGAUAUCAGGAGGAACACCGGUGGCGAAGGCGCCACUCUGGGCCGAAACUGACGCUGAGGAGCGAAAGCGUGGGUAGCAAACAGG